AACUAUAACGGUCCUAAGGUAGCGAAAUUCCUUGUCAGGUAAGUUCUGACCCGCAUGAAAGGCGUAAUGAUUUGGGCACUGUCUCAACAGCCCGCCCGGCGAAAUUGUAGUACCGGUGAAGAUGCCGGUUACCCGCGACAAGACGGAAAGACCCCAUGGAGCUUUACUGUAGCCUAAUAUUGGGUUUCGAUGUUGCAUGCACAGGAUAGAUGGGACACAGGGAAACAAGUGCUUUGGCAUUUGUGGAGUGGCCGUUGGGAUACCAUCCUUGCGAUAUUGGAAUUCUAACCUGCGCCUUUGAAUCAAGGCGGGGGACAUUGUUAGGUGGGCAGUUUGACUGGGGCGGUCGCCUCCUAAAGAGUAACGGAGGCGUUCAAAGGUUCGCUCAGCUUGAACGGAAAUCAAGCAAAAGAGUGCAAACGCAGAAGCGAGCCUAACUGCGAGACUGACGGGUCGAGCAGUAACGAAAGUUGGAGUUAGUGAUCCGGUGGUAUGUGAGUGGAAAUGCCAUCGCUCAACGGAUAAAAGUUACCCUGGGGAUAACAGGCUGAUCUCCCCCAAGAGUCCACAUCGACGGGGAGGUUUGGCACCUCGAUGUCGGCUCAUCGCAUCCUGGGGCUGUAUUCGGUCCCAAGGGUUUGGCUGUUCGCCAAUUAAAGCGGUACGCGAGCUGGGUUCAGAACGUCGUGAGACAGUUCGGUCCCUAUCUGUCGUGGGCGUAGGAAAUUUGAAGGGAGUCGUCCCUAGUACGAGAGGACCAGGAUGAACGUACCGCUGGUGAAUCAGUUGGCCUGCCAGGGCCACAGCUGGGUAGCUACGUACGGACGGGAUAAACGCUGAAAGCAUCUAAGCGUGAAGCCCCCCCUGAGAUGAGAUUUCCCAUUAGAAAUAAGUAAGACCCCUUAGAGAUGAUGAGGUAGAUAGGUCAGAGAUGUAAGCACUGUGAGGUGUUGAGUUGACUGAUACUAAUAGGUCGAGGACUUAACCUU
rnacentral:rRNA from 1 species